UCCCUGGUGGCGCAGAUGGUAAAGCAUCUGCCUUCAAUGCGGAAGACCCAGGUUCGAUUCCUGGGUCAGGGAA
rfam:TPA: Bos taurus chromosome 2, whole genome shotgun sequence.